rnacentral:lncRNA from 1 species
AUUCACAAGUUCAAGUGAUGUUAUUGCACAUUUCCAUUUCAACAUACAAAAAUUCAUGGAGUACAAUUGUAAUUUGUGACUAGAGGUCUGCUUUUGUGAUGGCAAUAUCAAACAUAGUUUCCUCAUUAAUCUUUUUCAUGAUGCAUUCAAAUAGUUCUCAAACUUAUACUAUGUGAAUGGUAACAAUUCAACGUAAAAAAUGAAGCGUCCACAACCUUCAAAUCCUGGAUCCACCACCGAGUAUAAUAAGCAAUAGUGAAAAGGUAUACGAAUAUCCAAGUCCAUUAAGGAAGAAUACACUUUCACACUCUUUUUCUUCUUCUUCUUUUCUUGUUUCUCAUUUUUUUCCCAUUGAAUAGAGUGUAUUGAACAUUAUUGACAAAUGACACACAUGAUAGCUUAAUUUGAAGCAUGAACUUCAGCAUCUUAACUUAGAUUUCCACUUGUAGCAUACUUAUCAAUUUGAGUGACAUCAAGUAUUUUGUCCAUUCCACUAGGCAAGAGAAAC